AUUGAACGCUGGCGGCAGGCCUAACACAUGCAAGUCGAACGAGUGGCGGACGUGUGUGUAAUGUCUGGGAAACUGCCUGAUGGAGGGGGAUAACUACUGGAAACGGUAGCUAAUACCGCAUACCAUCAGAUGUGCCCAGCUGGGAUUAGCUAGUUGGUGGGGUAACGGCUCACCAAGGCUACGAUCCCUAGCUGGUCUGAGAGGAUGACCAGCCACACUGGAACUGAGACACGGUCCAGACUCCUACGGGAGGCAGCAGUGGGGAAUAUUGCACAAUGGGCGCAAGCCUGAUGCAGCCAUGCCGCGUGUGUGAAGAAGGUCUUCGGGUUGUAAAGCACUUUAAGUGGGGAGGCGUUACCAACAGAAUAAGCACCGGCUAACUACGUGCCAGCAGCCGCGGUAAUAC
rnacentral:rRNA from 1 species